CGUAUGGUUCUAUUUUGUUGGUUUCUAGGACCGUCGUAAUGAUUAAUAGGGACGGUCGGGGGCAUCAGUAUUCAGUUGUCAGAGGUGAAAUUCUUGGAUUUACUGAAGACUAACUACUGCGAAAGCAUUUGCCAAGGACGUUUUCAUUAAUCAAGAACGAAAGUUAGGGGAUCGAAGACGAUCAGAUACCGUCGUAGUCUUAACCGUAAACUAUGCCGACUAGGGAUCGGAGGGCGUUAUAAUAACCUCUCCGGCACCUUACGAGAAAUCAAAGUUUUUGGGUUCUGGGGGGAGUAUGGUCGCAAGGCUGAAACUUAAAGGAAUUGACGGAGGGGCACCACCAGGAGUGGAGCCUGCGGCUUAAUUUGACUCAACACGGGGAAACUCACCAGGUCCAGACGUAAUAAGGAUUGACAAGUUAGAGACUUCUCUUGAUCUUACGGGUGGUGGUGCAUGGCCGUUUUUAGUCCUUGGAGUGAUUUGUCUGCUUAAUUGCGAUAACGGACGAGACCUUAACCUGCUAAAUAGGGCUGCGAGCAUCUGCUCGUGGGCUCUUCUUAGAGGGACUAUGGGUAUCAAACCCAUGGAAGUUUGAGGCAACAACAGGUCUGUGAUGCCCUUAGACGUUCUGGGCCGCACGCGCGCUACACUGACGGAGCCAGCAAGCAUAACCUUGGUCGAGAGGCCUGGGUAAUCUCGUGAAACUCCGUCGUGC
rnacentral:rRNA from 1 species